CCAGCACGCCACCGCGACCUCCCCUCUCCCCCAGGCGCCGUCGUCUCCCCACCUUUUCCCUCAGCUCCGGCCACCGCCCCCACCCUCUCCCCGGCUCCGGCCGCUGCCCCCACCCUCUCCCUCGGCUCCGGCCGCCGCCCCGACCUUCUCCCUGGGCUCCGGCCACUGCCCCGCACUCCAACCACGGAUCGACCCAUCGUCGUUGCCCUGCACCAGAUCGCGCCACCCAGAACCACCCGUCGCCACCACGUCCUCCCCGCGCUGCCGCUAUCUCUCCUUGCUCCACCGCCAGCCGAGCACCUCCUCACCUCCAUUGUUGUUCAGCACUUCCUCCAGUUCCUCCCGUGAGGGCUGCGCUCAUCCACUCCUACUGCUGAUCGAGCUCACUCCAAUCCCUCCACCAUGCUACCUCCUCCCGCUGAUGAGGCUCCGUUGAUGCAGCGCCCCGGCCGUUCACUGUCACCACCCCGGGCCGUUCAACGAGACAGCGCCAAGUCGUUCGACACCGCAGCUCGGGAGGCUGCCUCCUUUGACAGCUCCUGAUCUCUGGAACUGCCAUGGCUCCCUUCCGGCACAACUCGCUGUCGACAACCUCCUUUGACAGCUCGCCUUUGAGGCCCACCAGACUCACACGACGACGCUGGCCGUCCACAGCCACCACCACAGGCCGUUCACAGCCACCACUCAUGGCCGUUCACAAAAAACACCCCAAAGUGCAUACCAUACAUGAGGACAAGGGUGAGGAGCCAGGAGGAGGCAGCAGGAAAGAGCUAAGCGAUCUUCAGUUCACGUUUGCUACGAUUUUCAGUCCAGCCGGCUUACUAUUUCAUCACCAGGGUAACUAAAAAGCUCUGCGUCUGAUAGAAUAUCUCUUGUUAUAACUUUUAAAUUUGUCUAGAUGCGAGGAACAAAAUCUCCAGCGAACUUUUGCUUUGCUGAUAUAAAUCAAGCUCUGUUUUGUUGUUGAGAAACAACAGUAUGUUAGCAGCAGGAGUUAAAAAAUCAGCUGCUUUCAACUAAAUCAAAAUGUGUCGCGCAAGUUCAGGUAUACCUGCUGCAGGAGUUCAAAAAGCUGAAGAAACGAAGCUCAAACCAAGUUUAAAAACUGUUUCCUAGUUGUUUUUGGUUAAUUCGUUGUUAUGGACAGUAAAAAAUACACACUGUUGUGUAAUGCAUGUGUGUAUUGUAAUUGUAAUUGUGGUUUGGAGUUCAGGAAAAGAUAACAAAAAGGGACGCGGCGAUUCGGUGCUCAGGCUCAUCUUCACCUGAUAUCUAGGACGUUGGCUGAUGCGUUGGGAUUGGGAAAAGAAGGACAGACGCGUCAGAGCUGGUUCCACCGAAAAGUAAAAUACAGUCCCUAUACGGGCGUGUUGUGACGGUUUUCGCCCGGGUUCCCGUUAAUUAAUCGGGCAAUUCUCUUCUACUUAAUCAAUGAAAAUGGCAAAUCUUUUGCCUCGUUCCAAAAAAAAGAAUAUUUGUAUUUCGGUCAAAAUUGCAUUGGGCAAAAUAUUUAAGUAAACGUGAAUUUGAGCAGAUUUAAGUAGAACACAAAUUUCAUCCAACUCUGGUUAUAUUUCAGUCAAAGUCAAGUCAGAUUUUUUUUUUCACUCGGCCAGACUGAACCGAAAUAACAAUGCGGUUGAUUUCAGUGAUGGCCCAAUUCUGAUCGCAAUCGAGAAAAUGAGCUGUGAUAAAACAUUCCAUAGAUCCAAAGUACAUUAUGGUCAACUGUAUUCCCUCCUCACAAAAUAUCAUUAGUGGAUUCGUAAGGAUUGCGACUUCUUUUAGUUAUCUUUAUUAUUAUUCUUUGUUGCGACUGGUGCUACUGUGCAUUAUAUUUUUCUUAAAACACUUGGUUCUUGGGUUGAUCCAUUAGGAUGAUGGUGCAGUAGCCAUUGUACUUAAGAACUUAAAGGCUGAUCUCGGCAACAUACGCAACGAGGUAAAUCCACAUUGUGAACUGAUAACCAAACAGUCAGUCUUUUACUUCCAAUUCUCUGUUGGCAAUCUCACAGAUAUGAAUUGUCUCAAUUCUCUUAGGUUAUCAGAAUGAUUGCUGGCAUGUCUGAAGAUCAAACAUGCAUUGCCACCUGGGAUGUGCCUGAAACAGUUGAAGGGAAAAUGAUUUGCCUAUUCCUGUGACAAAAUUGAUGUGUGCAUGGCUCUCUUGUCCCUUAACAAAAUUGAUGUGCAAGUCCCAGCAGGUUCCAAUCAAGUUAACGGCUUUUCUUCUGGUACUUUGAUGGCUUGAUUAUUUAGGAGGAUCGAUGCCUGAAAACAGGAGUUCAUGUGCAGAACAAAGAAGCAGAGAUGAAGAGGUGUCAAGAUAAAGGAACUCACAUGGGAAAUUCUGAAUCUUCAAGGCUCGUUUCAUGUAUUUAAUAUUUUGAACUGUUAAAGAUGUUAUUGUACUUUUUGUCUAUUGAUAUGUGUUUAGAAUAAUUAUUCACAGUAAAAUCUGUGUUUAGAAUAACUAUUGAAGAUGAUAUUACAUGGGAUUCAGCUUCUAUGCCUAGAAUAAGUAUUCACAGUAAAAUCU